AGAGUUCCGGCGGGUCACUUCCUGUCUAUGGCGAGCUUGCUGAAAAGAGACUCAUGCAGCUACGUCGUCUCAAAUUACUCGUAAAUAUGACUUCGAAGAAGACUGGUGUAAAAGAAAGGUUUACGUGGAGUGUUUUGAUCAUCAACCGUGAACGAGAGCUGCGGAUGUGAGGCGCCCUACUUCCUUCAGCCGAAGAACGAGAAAUCCCUCCGCCUGUGGUUAAAAGCUGUAAGUCUGAAGAAACCACCGAAGCGACCGUAUUUUUUUCAUUUUGUAGACAAAAGACCGACAGAAGACCAACUAUGCCAGAAAAGUGGCUGGGCUACGAAGUUGCAUUAAAAACUCCAAGGUGAUAAAGAGGAGAGCAGAAAGAUGACAGCCACUGUGAUGCAGAGGAUGACCGGACUGCUCCAUAAUCAGUCACAUAUGAAUAAAAAUGCUGUUACUACAGGCACUGAUGAUCACACCUACGAGAAAAGAAGUAGAAGGAUGUAUGUGGCUGGCUUCCUGGAGUAUCUUGGUUCUGGCGAUGAAGUAACGGCAGACAGAGGCUUUACCAUCAGAGAUCUGCUGUUUGAGAGAUUUAACCUUGUUCUACCAGCAUUCACUCAUAAAAGGAGGACGGUUGUCUGAUGAGGAUGUAACUGCCACAAGGAUUGCAGAUGUCCACAUACAUGUGUGAAGAGUUAUCAGGAGGCUCAAAGUUUUCACAAUAAUCUCCCAGACUGUAACCAUCAGCUUCAAUAUAAAAUGGACAAAAUCUUUCGAA